UACGAGGGGGGCAAGCGUUGUUCGGAAUUAUUGGGCGUAAAGGGUGCGUAGGCGGUUUGGUAAGUCUUAUGUGAAAUCUACAGGCUCAACUUGUAGUCUGCAUGAGAAACUGCCGGGCUUGAGUAUGGGAGAGGUGAGUGGAAUUCCUGGUGUAGCGGUGAAAUGCGUAGAUAUCAGGAGGAACACCUGUGGCGAAAGCGGCUCACUGGACCAUAACUGACGCUGAUGCACGAAAGCUAGGGGAGCAAACAGGA
rnacentral:rRNA from 1 species